UUGCCGCUAGUUGUUGUGAGAUAUUGUUUACCAUGGUUUGAUUAGUUGUGCAAAGGGUUUCGAAGGAUGUUCGUGUGUGAAGUAGUCGACAGACGGCGAAAGAUUGAGACGUUAGAUGAAGUGUCAUGAGUCAAUGUCUCGAAGAAAACGGCUGUUAUUUCCUUAUAAAGUAGGCGAAUAAGGAGUAAAGCAAACAGUUGGCUGGAAUAGCCCAGGAAAAAUGUGGCAUCGUCGGCACAAUGUUUUUGAGACGACGUUUACCCAACACCCUUUCCAUUUUUCUGGUAUCUUGUGGUUUCACUGUAUUAAUAUUCAUGUUAAAACACCUUUAUGACAUGCAUCAGAAGUGCCACAGACUAGAAACUUACAAGCAGUACGUCCAGGAACUUUCUGAGUACAUGCAGAACGUUGAACAAUCUGCCAACAAGUCCGCUCGAAGUCUUCAUCGCUUGAGUAGUGCUCUACAGCAGCGGCUCAGCAUUCUAGCUGAUACGGAAGUUCACAAUGAAGCUGGGAGGUAGCAAUUAAGGAGGUGAGAUGCAUUCUCCAAGUUACCAUAUCAGCGAAGUUCUCCAAUAUACCGUCUUACGUAGAAAGAGAGGCCAUGCAUUUAUUAACCAGCAGGAACUGGUGUUUUUUUCCUAAAUUAAAGUAUGCAUGAAAGUAUCAGGCAGAUAUUACUCAGUUUGAAAACCUAUUACUCAAGUGUUCAUGUUCUGUCAUUGUGAUGCAUUAUGGUAUGGACCACACAAUUCAACAAAUACCAAUGUAUUUAUAGUGAGUCCAAAUAUUUGGUACUAUUUAGCAUGUCUUGAUUCUAUCCUUGGGAUUAUGAGUUAAGUGAAUAUAUUUGUCACUAAUUCCUAGUCAUUUCAGCUGUAACAAAAGAAAUAUUUUUAUAUAAAAAAGUAUUUGUUGAAGAUCUGAGUCUGUAACAUUUAUGUCAAUGGAACUACUUUGCAAUGUUAAGUUUCUUGAAAGUUAAAGAUGUUGAUAGUAAGUAUAAACACUGUUUAUUUGUCUAGUGUUGUUGUAUUAGUUGGUUGUUUCCUGAAUAAA
rnacentral:lncRNA from 1 species